rnacentral:misc_RNA from 1 species
UGAUAAACAAUACAUUAGUGGAAAGUACGUGCUAGCCGAGAGGCGACAACUAGUAAAACCAGUCGAAAAAAACAAAAAAAUAA